rnacentral:rRNA from 1 species
GAUAACAGUCCGAAAGGAUUGCUAAUACCCCAUGUGGUCAUAAGGAUUAGAUGCCUAAUGACUAAACGGAUUUAUUCGCUUCGGGAGGGGCCUGCGUCCCAUCAGCUAGUUGGUAAGGUAAUGGCUUACCAAGGCGAUGACGGGUAGGGGACCUGAGAGGGUGGCCCCCCACAAUGGAACUGAAACACGGUCCAUACACCUACGGGUGGCAGCAGUAGGGAAUAUUGGUAAUCUGGGAAACCGGGAACCAGCAACGCCGCGUGCGCGAUGAAGGCCUUCGGGUUGUAAAGCGCUUUUUGAGGGGAUGAGGAAGGACAGUACCCUCAGAAUAAGCCUCGGCUAACUACGUGCCAGCAGCCGCGGUAAAACGUAGGAGGCGAGCGUUAUCCGGAUUUACUGGGCGUAAAGCGUGUGUAGGCGGUUUGAUAAGUUGGAUGUGAAAGCUCCCGGCUCAACUGGGAGAGGUCGUUCAAAACUAUCAGACUCGAGAGUGGUAGAGGGAGGUGGAAUUCCGCGUGUAGUGGUGAAAUGCGUAGAUAUGCGGAGGAACACCAGUGGCGAAAGCGGCCUCCUGGCCCAUUUCUGACGCUCAGACACGAAAGCUAAGGUAGCAAACGGGAUUAGAGACCCCGGUAGUCUUAGCUGUAAACGAUGUGAACUUAGUGUCGGUGGGGUUAAAUCCAUCGGUACUGAAGCUAACGCGAUAAGUUCACCGCCUGAGGAUUACGGCCGCAAGGUUAAAACUCAAAAGAAUUGACGG